rnacentral:sRNA from 12 species
AGUUGGUGCAGUGAAUAAGGCAGUAAGCUUGGGCAACCAAGCCGAUGAGUCGUCGUUGACCUAGUGCGAUUCUGCCGAUAUAGAUUAGGCGCACUAACC